UGGUGGGGUAACGGCCUACCAAGUUUACGAUCAGUAGCCGGACUGAGAGGUUGAACGGCCACAUUGGGACUGAGAUACGGCCCAGACUCCUACGGGAGGCAGCAGUGGGGAAUAUUGCACAAUGGGGGAAACCCUGAUGCAGCAACGCCGCGUGAAGGACGACGGUUUUCGGAUUGUAAACUUCUUUUCUUAGUGACGAAGAAAGUGACGGUAGCUAAGGAAUAAGCAUCGGCUAACUACGUGCCAGCAGCCGCGGUAAUACGUAGGAUGCAAGCGUUAUCCGGAUUUACUGGGUGUAAAGGGAGCGCAGGCGGGACUGCAAGUUGGAUGUGAAAUACCGUGGCUUAACCACGGAACUGCAUCCAAAACUGUAGUUCUUGAGUGAAGUAGAGGCAAGCGGAAUUCCGAGUGUAGCGGUGAAAUGCGUAGAUAUUCGGAGGAACACCAGUGGCGAAGGCGGCUUGCUGGGCUUUAACUGACGCUGAGGCUCGAAAGUGUGGGGAGCAAACAGGAUUAGAUACCCUGGUAGUCCACACUGUAAACGAUGAUAGCUAGGUGUGGGGGGUCUGACCCCUUCCGUGCCGGAGUUAACGCAAUAAGCUAUCCACCUGGGGAGUA
rnacentral:rRNA from 1 species